rnacentral:rRNA from 1 species
UUCUUCCUACGGGAGGCAGCAGUGAGGAAUAUUGGUCAAUGGACGCAAGUCUGAACCAGCCACGUAGCGUGCAGGAUGACGGCCCUCCGGGUUGUAAACUGCUUUUAGUUGGGAAUAAAAGGGGGCUCGUGAGCCCCGUAUUGUAUGUACCAUCAGAAAAAGGACCGGCUAAUUCCGUGCCAGCAGCCGCGGUAAUACGGCAGGUCCGGGCGUUAUCCGGAGUUAUUGGGUUUAAAGGGAGCGUAGGCCGGCUUUUAAGUCAGCUGUGAAAGUCCGC